UACGGAGGGGGCUAGCGGUGUUCGGAAUUACUGGGCGUAAAGCGCACGUAGGCGGCUUUGUAAGUUAGAGGUGAAAGCCCAGGGCUCAACCCUGGAAUUGCCUUUAAGACUGCAUCGCUUGAACAUCGGAGAGGUAAGUGGAAUUCCGAGUGUAGAGGUGAAAUUCGUAGAUAUUCGGAAGAACACCAGUGGCGAAGGCGACUUACUGGACGAUUGUUGACGCUGAGGUGCGAAAGCGUGGGGAGCAAACAGG
rnacentral:rRNA from 1 species